rnacentral:rRNA from 1 species
AAUUACUGGGCGUAAAGCGCGCGUAGGUGGUUCGUUAAGUUGGAUGUGAAGCCCCGGGCUCAACCUGGGAACUGCAUCCAAAACUGGCGAGCUAGAGUAUGGCAGAGGGUGGUGGAAUUUCCUGUGUAGCGGUGAAAUGCGUAGAUAUAGGAAGGAACACCAGUGGCGAAGGCGACCACCUGGGCUAAUACUGACACUGAGGUGCGAAAGCUUGGGGGAGCAAACAGGAUUAGAUACCCUGGUAGUCCACGCCGUAAACGAUGUCGACUAGCCGUUGGGAUCCUUGAGAUCUUAGUGGCGCAGCUAACGCAUUAAGUCGACCGCCUGGGGAGUACGGCCGCAGGUUAAAACUCAAAUGAAUUGACGGGGGCCGCACAAGCGGUGGAGCAUGGUGGUUUAUUCGAAGCAACGCGAAGGAACCUUACAGGCCUUGACAUGAGAGAACUUUCAGAGAUGGAUUGGUGGCUUCGGGAGUCUGAAACAGGUGCUGCAUGGUGUCGUCAGCUCGUGUCGUAGAUGUUGGGUAAGUCCCGUAACAGGCCACCCUUGUCUUAUUACAGCCGUUAGGUGGCACUCUAAGAGAUGCGGUGAAAAACGAGAAGGUGGGAAGAGUCAGUAUCAGGCC